rnacentral:tRNA from 2 species
GAGGGUAUAGCUCAGUGGUGGAGUGCAUGCUUAGCAUGCAUGAGGUCCUGGGUUCAAUCCCCAGUACCUCCA